UACAACACCAUCAGGGCCUUCCUAGUGCCCUUCAUUCCACCGGAAUCUGUCGAUACAGAAACCAGAUUUCAGUGAAAUGAAGCCCACCAGAGAGGCAGAUCA
rnacentral:pre_miRNA from 12 species